CCAGAUCCCAUCAGGGUCGAUGAUGCCAACUUUAUUGGUUGGUGAUUUUAUUCUGGUGGAGAAGUUUUCGUACGAUGUGAAAGAUCCGGU
rnacentral:tRNA from 1 species